UGGCUUGAAAUGCCCAAAUGGGAUCCCACCCCCGGCUCUCCAUUGAGUUCCAGGCGCCCUGCGGGACAGCAUGUCGUGCGUUCAUUCAACAAGCGUUGACUGAGCGCUUGCUGUGUGCCAGCCUCCGUUCUAAGGAAUACGCAGAUCCAACCUAUCAGCCAGGCCUGUCAGCUCUUCUGUUUAGGCCCUGAAUUCCUCCACGUCCCGCACAGUCAUCACCCUCCAACAUGAUCCCAGCUCAAGACUCCCAUCUGGAUUUCCUUAUAGCAGCUGCCCCCCAGGCCUCCAGUUGUCUGUCAUCAACCUCUGGUCUGUUUCUCCCACAGCUGCCAGAGUCAGGCCAUGUGUCUCCCUUUCCUAGAACCCCUCGUGGUCCCCAGCUCACUCAGAGCAAAAGUCCUGUGCCCCACAAGCCCUGCACUCUCUUCCUAUCCGGUCCCCGCCCUCUUCUCCCUCCCACUCACCCCUCAC